GUCGAACGCUGGCGGCGUGCUUAACACAUGCAAGUCGACCGAAGUGGCGAACGGGUUAGUAAUACGUGGGUAACCUGCCCUCCUUUUUGGGAUAAGCCUUGGAAUCGGGGUCUAAUCCCGAAUAAAGGGGGAUUGGCUCGUGGCCUAUCAGUAUGUUGGUGGGGUGGUGGCCUACCACGUUGGUGACGGGUAGUCGGCCUGAGAGGUUGACCGGCCACGUAGAGGCUGGGAGACGGCCCAGACGGCUACGGGAGGCAGCAGUGGGCGAGAUGGCACGAUUGGCGAAAGCCUGAUGCAGCGGCGCCGCGUGGAGGAGGGAGGCUUUCGGGUUGUAAACCUGUUUCUCUAGCGAACGGGUAGGUGCAGAGGAGGCGCCAGCUAACUACGCGCCAGCAGCCGCGGUAAUUC
rnacentral:rRNA from 1 species